rnacentral:rRNA from 1 species
AGAGUUUGAUCCUGGCUCAGGAUGAACGCUAGCGGCAGGCCUAACACAUGCAAGUCGAGGGGCAGCACAGGUAGCAAUACUGGGUGGCGACCGGCGGAUGGGUGCGUAACGCGUAUGCAACCUACCAUUGAUUGGGGCAUAGCCCGAAGAAAUUCGGAUUAAUACUCCAUAAUAUUCAUCAAAGGCAUCUUUUAUGAAUUAAAGCUUUUGCGAUCAAUGAUGGGCAUGCGUGACAUUAGUUAGUUGGUGAGGUAACGGCUCACCAAAACGAUGAUGUCUAGGGGUUCUGAGAGGAUUAUCCCCCACACUGGUACUGAGACACGGACCAGACUCCUACGGGAGGCAGCAGUAGGGAAUUUUCGGCAAUGGGGGAAACCCUGACCGAGCAAUGCCGCGUGAAUGAAGAAGGUCUUCGGACUGUAAAAUUCUGUUAUUUGUGGAAGAAAGGUAGUUGGAGGAAAUGCCAAUUACUUGACGGUACCAAAUGAGAAAGCCCCGGCUAACUAUGUGCCAGCAGCCGCGGUAAUACAUAGGGGGCGAGCGUUAUCCGGAAUUAUUGGGCGUAAAGCGUGCGUAGGCGGUUUAUUAAGUCUGACGUGAAAUCCCACAGCUUAACUGUGGAGGGUCGUUGGAAACUGGUAGGCUUGAGUACAGUAGAGGUAAGUGGAAUUCCAAGUGGAGCGGUGGAAUGCGUAGAUAUUUGGAGGAACACCAGUGGCGAAGGCGGCUUACUGGGCUGGAACUGACGCUGAUGCACGAAAGCGUGGGGAGCAAACAGGAUUAGAUACCCUGGUAGUCCACGCCGUAAACGUUGAGCACUAAGUGUCGGGAAUAAUCUCGGCGCUGCAGUUAACACAAUAAGUGCUCCGCCUGGGGAGUACGGUCGCAAGACUGAAACUCAAAGGAAUUGACGG